AUCGAGAGGUUGCUAUGGAGACAGAAACAUUGCCCUUGUUGGAGGAUUGUAUCUUCGACUGGGAAACCAGAGAGAAAUUAAUUCUGCUGCAGAAUGCACUUGAUGAAAAGCAGUACCACAAUCAACUGGAUAAAAUCAGUGACUGGUGCUUGGAACAGAGUUUGUCUAUCUCUAAUUUUAGACAUUUUGAGAAAAAACAACAACUAAUGGACAUCCUCAAAAAAAAUUAAAUUUUCUACCGAGUCCAGUCAGAAUUUGUUCAGUUCAGGAAUGGAUUGAACAAAGUGGGAAGACUGCUCGAUGCAGUCCAACUGGCCCCAAAGUCUUUUCUUCAACUCUUCACCCAGAACAGCAAAGCUCUACGGUUCAGAGACAUCAGGGAGCUUUACAAGGUGAACUGGAGUCCUGAUGGAUCCAACAAUAAGAGGCAGGAGGAACAGGCUUCGUAUUGUCUAGAAGCUUUUCUUGCCUAUUCAGAGGGGGGAUCCACAGGGAUUUCAUUAGACGAGGUGUUAUCCUUUUGGACUGGAGCAGCAAGCAUUCCUCCACUAGGAUUUGAAAAAUCUCUGGAAGUGUCCUUUGGAAGCACUAAACAAUUUCCAACAGCCCACACCUGUGCCCUUAUAUUAACAAUAUGGCGUGGUUUCGAUGAUCCUGACGAGUUUCAGGAUACAAUUACAAAAGCAAUAAAAUGGGCAGGAGGUUUUAAUCUUGUUUGACAAUCAAAACGUUUUCAUGACAGCAAAGUUUCUUGGAAUUUAAAAUUGUGUUCAAGGCUUUCAUUGCAUGUUGUGCCAAUUUUUUUAGAUGUAUAGCAGCUAACCUCAAGUGAAGAACAUUUAUUUAGGCACCUGCCGGUGAAACUGGUGAUCAAUGUAUUUGUCUCCGUCGUCUGUCUGUUUGUCCGGAAGUUGGCUUCCUGUCAAAACUCGAGUGAGAAGUGAUGAAUGAUACAAAGUGGGAUUGAAUCUGUGGUCAAAAUGUCAACUAUGAGAUCACUGUUACUGAAUAGACUUACUACUUAAUAGAUAUGUAUGGUCAAAUUGAUAACUUCAA